GGACCGCUGGCGCAACGGUAGCGCGUUCGACUCCAGAUCGAAAGGUGUAUGUACAAUUAAUCAACAAUGUGUUGAGAUUUAUCUAAUAUAUUCAACAGUAUCCGUUCAAAUCGGGUGUGGUUCA